UGGGGAAUUUUGCACAAUGGGGGAAACCCUGAUGCAGCGACGCCGCGUGAUUUAGAAGGCCUUCGGGUUGUAAAAAUCUUUUCUAUGGGAAGAAAAUGACAGUACCAUAGGAAUAAGGACCGGCUAAUUACGUGCCAGCAGCCGCGGUAAUACGUAAGGUCCGAGCGUUGUCCGGAAUCAUUGGGCGUAAAGGGUACGUAGGCGGGUAAGCAAGUUAGAAGUGAAAUCCUAUAGCUCAACUAUAGUAAGCUUUUAAAACUGCUCAUCUUGAGGUAUGGAAGGGAAAGUGGAAUUCCUAGUGUAGCGGUGAAAUGCGCAGAUAUUAGGAGGAAUACCGGUGGCGAAGGCGACUUUCUGGCCAUAACCUGACGCUGAGGUACGAAAGCGUGGGUAGCAAACAUG
rnacentral:rRNA from 1 species